CCGUCCACCCUGUUUGGUUUGAUGUAGAACCGCACCGGCAUGUUGGUCUCUGGCACCAGGCCUUCCUCCAGAUUGUAGGUCACCCUGGGAUCGCCAAGCGGAGACGUUGCCUUGACAGUCUGAUUAGAAAAAGGUGUGUCUGAGUACGGCUUGUAGUUUCCAGGUGAGAAGUCAUGUCCUGACAUGUUGGUGCAGUGUGCCUCAACCUUGCAGCAGGCCAAGAUUAAUGCCUGUGGGAAAAUGGCAAGAGAUCACUCACAGCUGGUGAGGCUGGUGCUGGGACUGAGGCAGCAGCUGCAACGUACUUCAUCCUUUCACUUCACUGCUAAAAGUUAGCAGUUACUUUUAAAUGCGGAAGCCAGAAUCCACAACCAGGAUGGAGAAGAAAGCAGGAGGAGGAAGUCAACUGAUGAGUAAACUAUUAUAACCUG